UUGAUGAACAUGUAGUAAGGUAAGUUCUAGUUAUAUUGUAGUGAAUGCUUGUGUGUACGUGCGCGUGUGUGCAUGCGCAUGUGUGCGUUCGAGAGAGCGAGAGAGAAGAGGAAGGGAGAAAGAGAGAGAGAGGGGGACAUGUGAGUGACAGCCCCCACUUCGGUGAUUGCAUUUGAAGUUACUGUCUUCCAGUUUUGUCCUAAUGCGUUUUUUUUCCCCCUCAUCAGUUUUGCUUUACUUUAUUGGUAAGUGUCUACCUUAAGUCUCGUCUUUUUAAACUCUCAUCUGGUGCCAGUCUGCUAUAUCUGUCCUCAUAUUUGUCCCGUUAAAGUACCAAUGGUUUGUUUAUAUUAGAAAGGACAGGGCCACACAUAGUUAUUUCCCCUUAAAAAAUUACAGCAGUAUUGUUUUACUCUUUUUAUUUUAUUUUUUUGCAAUUUUUUUCGUUUUUCUUUUUUCACAGAAGUUUGAACAUUGGCGAACCGUGGAAGAUUCUUCUGGACGUAAAGAAGAAGUCUAUACUAAAGUAGCAGAUGGCCAAAAACACACGAUAACCCGUAAAGUCGAUUCAGUGGGUAAUGAAGAAGAAACUGAAGAAGUACAGACCUUGGGAAACCCUUAUGAAGACCAGUUUGAUAGAACAUCAAGGAGUCCCUUAAGUGAUAAUCAUGAUCAGGCAAAUGACCAGCUUUACAGUCCCUACCAGCAAGGAAUCUCGUCAAUCAGAUAUUACUUCUCAAAUUUAUUUGGUUUUAAACGUGAUUAAAUUGUUGCUUCUUGUAAUUUCUUUCAUUCAGUUGUGAUUUUUAUGUAGAUUCAGCUUUUGUAAUAAAUUCUAUUACAGCAUU